rnacentral:rRNA from 1 species
UACGUAGGGGGCAAGCGUUAUCCGGAUUUACUGGGUGUAAAGGGGGCGUAGACGGUUAUGCAAGUCAGAAGUGAACGCCCAAAGCUCAACUUCGGGACUGCUUUUGAAACUGUGUAACUAGAGUGCAGGAGGGGUAAGCGGAAUUCCUAGUGUAGCGGUGAAAUGCGUAGAUAUUAGGAGGAACACCGGCGGCGAAGGCGGCUUACUGGACUGUAACUGACGUUGAGGCUCGAAAGCGUGGGGAGCAAACAGG